AUGGCUGGUUGUAUCUGCCCUUGGCAGGAGAGCCAGCACAGCGGGGACUGGGCUGUGGCUGGGAGCAGCACCUGCUCCUCUGGAGUCUGGCCCCUGCACUCUCCUGCUCCCCACGGCUUUCCACAGGGCCUCUGGCUCAGACCCUGCCCAUGGGGAUUCCUGCUGGGGUGGCUUGGAGAAACCAGGGACAGAAACAAGGAAGUCAGAGUGUUCUGGAUGCUCACUGACAUGGAGAGCAGCUCCUUACUUGGGAUACUUCUCCUGUUGAUGUGCUACUUCCACAGCAGCUGCUCGUUUUCAUAUUCAGUGUUUAUGAGAAAAGACAAAGCCCAUGAGGUGCUGCAAGUCCACAAAUAUGCCAACCACUUCCUAGAAGUGAUUUGUCCAGGGAACCUGGAGAGAGAAUGCAAUGAAGAAAAGUGUUCAUUUGAAGAGGCUAAGGAGAUCUUCCAGUCACAGGAGAAAAUGGUCGGCCUGCAGCCCGCCGUGUGUCCAAGAGCCUGGUCCCGCCCUGUUGCCGGGUUCUGCCCCUCCCGCCGGUGCUGCUUCGGACCAGCGUGGACAUGGACUGGGCGGAGCGGCGGCCUCAGCGGCCGGCGCUGGGUGCUCACGGCACCUCGACCUCGUCAGUCCCAGUGCGUCACCCUGGGUGACAUCGGGGCACCUCUGACUGUGCUCUGUGUGACACAGCAAGGCAGGGCUGAGACAAGCCCAGCCUCGCUGGGAUUUAGGGAGCAUGUCAUGGCCUUGGCACCAUGCGGAGGGGCUGAGGGGCUCUAGUUGAUCCCUUUUGUUUUCUCUGGGAACCUGGGACCAUAAAGCACACACCCAUUUUGGCAAGCUCAGUGUGCAGAGAGACUGAGCACACCUCAGGUGGACACUUCAGGAUGAAAAGUUCCUCCAGCGGACAGUUUGAAUUUUGGUUUUCAAUUAACCUUAAGAUAGUUUACUCCUGUGCUGCCUCUUCCACUAAGUCUGUAACUGCCUUAGAGCACAAAGCUCCUCUCCCCAGCUCCAGCCACAGUAACUGGAUCCUUUGUAGAAGGAAUGCUGCAGCAAACACGAUUCUGUUCUUGAACCCUCGAGGGAAGGAAUGUGUAGGAGGAGCAAACAGCGUUCCAGCACGGGGCACCUGACAGGAAGCGAUUCUCCAGCCUUAGACACUGCUGCAGCUUAAUGCUGAGGUCAGGUUCCUGAGGGGAAAACAUACAGUCACAUGGAAGUUUAGACAGAAGUGCUUACUAAAAAUGACAGUAUUUAUAGGAAAAGAUAAUCUCUGUUGGUGUGUCAGCAUACAGGCUCCAGCUCUGUCUUGCCUCUAAAGGGUACCUGGAGAGUUUGGACUGCAGGAUCACAGCCUGCAGCAUCAGAAAUCAUUGCACAAGCAGGAUUUGUUUUGAGCUGUGCUGCCUUGGAACUGAAGAUGAAAGCAUUGUAAUCCCCUAUCGUUCCUGUUCCCUGCAACAAUAUCACCGAGGCUGUUCAGUUUGCUUAAUGUUUUAACUUGUCGUGACUGCAGGAGACUGACAAAAAACGGAGAAUUCACAGGAGAUCUCUGUGGAAUGGAGCUGGACGCACCCCCAUUACAAUUCCAACUACAACGGUGACAUUGCCCUACUGUGCUGGAGCAGUGGCGAUUCCCAGCUGCCUGCCCAGCCCUAACCUGGCUGUACUGCUCUCCAAAGAGGGGACAGUGGCGAUGGUCAGUGGCUGGGGAGCCACACUCCAGCGGGGCUCCACCCUGCGCUUUCUCAUGGAGGUGUGGCUGCCCAUGGUGGCCCAGGCUGCUCACCGACAGCAUGUUCUGUGUGGGGCACAGCACGGCUGCAGCCCCUGCCUGCGAGGGGGACAGUGGGGGGCCCUUCACCGUGUCUCACCACAACACUUUGUUCCUCCUGGGCACUGGCUGUGCCAAGCAAGGGAAAUAUGGUGAACAUACCUGAGUAUCCAACUACAGCCCCUGGAUCAAAAAGGUGGUUCAAAGUGUAGCAGAUUUGGAAAACUUCUCUUAAUGCCAUCACUAAGAACAGGAUCAACUCCAUUAUUACCAUGUUUCAAUCUAUGACACUAUGCCUGCUCCCAUCCCUAAUGGUGUAAAAUCAACUUACCCUCAAAGAAAUUUUGGAAUGUGUAAAUUGCUCAUUUUAGUACUGUAUUUGUGUAUAAUAAUAAAGAACUAUUGGCAAGUAACAAAGGAGAUAACACUUCUUAAUGUGACUCAGGAAGAUUUUUUUUGUUUUAGAGAAAGAAAACGCUUUCCAUGUCUCAAGCCCACCAGUGUUAUGACACAGAGGCCCACAGCCCUGUGUGAAUUCAGUGCUCACAAAAGUAAGUGCAACUGUGGUACAGUGUCCAUCAUGAGACAAUGCUGAACACAGGGAGGGAGCUCUGAAGUUUUGGGACCAAGUAUAACAUGUACAAAUCAGCUACAGAUUUGUAUUAUAGAUUACAAUUACAGAUGUUUUCCAAUACAAAAGCCAGUGUCUGGAAUUGUGUAUAAACCGAGCAGGAACUGACCUAAAGGAUAAAAGGAUUCUGUGGUAGGAAUCUGAACACUUGAUCUUUGCGUCUGAUGUCAAAAGAAGUUUUGAUUUUGUGGUUACUGCAUUAUAUACAUACCUGGAGGAAGCAGGAGCAGAGCUCUUUAGUGCACCAGCCUGCACAGGUGUCCUCCUUCAGUUCUUCCUUCAAGCUGGUGUUGCAGCACACAGCUGUGUUACUGUCAUUCCCUCCACUCUCACAGGGGCAAAUUUAACAUGUGACCCCUACACACACUUGCACUUUCUCCAUGACUGGUGCCAGCAGUAACUCAGCCAACACCAGGAUCGCCAAAAUUACAGACUCCUCAUUACAGAGGCUCUGCUCCUCCAGCACAAAGGUGACUUUUCUUAAUAAAAAAAUGCCAGGUGCCAAUUACCUGUGCAAGAAGAGUCCUCUUCUUGGAAGCAUGCUCAGCAGAGACAACUAUUUUCAGAGGUAGAAGCAAAGAAGCCAUAGAGUACCAGAUGUUAUUCUGUUGUCAGUCUGUAGCAGCAGGAACAAAGAAACAGCAUUAUCUCCCCUAACACAAAAAUGUCCUUCUUCCCACUGGUAAAAAAGACCUUUGCAAAGUCACUGGUACGCUACAGUGACAUUUUAGCUGGAAGCUGCUGGAAUUUUUAGUGGUCAAUCUGCUAGCUUUCUUCUGAAUGUCACAUUACUCUUCAUAAAAAGAAAAUCCUUUGCAUGGAAGAUGACCAAUACUUCUAAAUCAAAAACAAUUCAUGAGCCCUCCAAAGACAUAACAACUGAUUGAUUAAUAAAGCAAUGAAUAGAGAAAAUGGACAAAGCUGAACAAAAAAUUAACUCCUCAGUUUUUCCACAUCCCAGGUGGUCUGUACAAACCUUCAUCUGAGCAAUGAAGAGGCAGACCCCUCCCAAAAAAAACCCCAGAAGAUGUUUUAUUUUUUAAAGUAUUGCAAUACAACAAAUACAUGAUCUGUACAAAGGACACAACAGGGCCAGUUUAAAUACAAUCAGGAGAAAGGAGUCCCCAUAUUCACAGUCCUCAGACAUCUUCUACCAGAACCUGAACCAACAAUUUAAGGAUUCACUUAAAAAACAAACUAAAAAACCAAACCCACCCCAAACAAGUUAAAAAAUUUAAAGGUCUCCAAAGAAUCUGCGGGUGCAUUGUCUUACAGCAGAGCUC
ensembl:lncRNA